AAUGUUGAAUCUGAAUUUAUUCUUAUCGUAAAAUUCUCUUUACUUAGUUGUUUACUUUGUUUAGUAGAAUUUAUGAUCUGUAAUUAAAGGGUUUAUUAUGGAUUGCUAAACCAGUUAAUAAAUAUUAGGAAGUUCUAAACUAAAUAGAAUUCUUAUUGGAGUUCUAUCUCCUAAUGGUAAACCACUAAAUAAUUUAAGAGUACUUUGUGUUAUAACUUAAAGGAAAUUAAUAUUAUAAUAAUAACGAGAAGAAUUGAAUCAUCUUAGUAUUCUCAGGAAGAUAAAAUUAAUAUGAUUUUAGUAGUAGUGGCGAACGAAUCUUUAGUAGUCUAAUCUUACUUGGAAGUGUCUGCAUUUUUUAAUGCUUAAAUUUGGAACAACCACCAAAAGCUGAACGAGUGAGUAAUUAAGUAGAAUGGAUUUUAAAUCUGUUUGAAUAGAGGAGAACCAAUCUCCUAAGACUAAUUAUAUUAACUGAGUGAUAGUGAAUAGUACCGUGAGGGAAAGCAUUGAAAUAGUAAACCUACAAGCAAAAAUUGGGAAUUUAUAAAUUUCUUAUUUUGUACCUUUUGCAUAAUGGGUCAGCAAGUUUGAAUUAUUUGCAAGCUCUAAAGCUAAAGAAGUAAAUAGUUCAAGACCCGAAACUAAACGAUCUUACCAUGAUCAGAUUUUUAUGGAUCGAACCAGUCAUUGUUGCAAAAAUGUUGGAUGAAUUGUGGUAAGCAGUGAAAUGCUAAUCUAGUUUAGUGAUAGCUGGUAGUCCACGAAAUAGCUUUUAGGCUAGCUCUCUUUAUUUGUCUGUAGAGUGUACAGUAAUUAAUUACCUUUGAUUGAUAAAAUCAUUAAUGGGGGACUUUUUGUUUACUCAAGGUACAAGUUAAACUCGGAAAUUCUGCAUACUAAAAAGAGAAGUCAGACUUUUGGUGAUAAGGUCCAAAGUCGAAAGAGAAACAGCUCAGAACAAUUGUUUAAAGUUCCCAAAUCCAACUUAAGUGAACUGAAGAUUGUUUAUUCCCUAAUACAAUAAGAACAUGGGCUUGGAAACAGCCAUUGUCUAAGGAGUACGUAAUAGUUCACUUAUCUUUAAGGUAUCAUAUACCAUAGGGGAAUAAGUGUCGAAAAUUCAGCGGAUCUUUGAAUUAUUUUUUUCUGUAAAGUUGGUACUUAAACAUUGUAAUUCAAUUCUCAUUAAUUAAGGGUUGAAUUGGUAGUGGACCAUUCUAUAAAAAGUCGAAGAUAGGUUUUUCAAUCUAUUGGAUUUAUUAGAAGAGAUAAUGCUGACAUAAGUAACGUAAAAAAAGGUUAAAAUCCUUUUCACUGAAAACUCAAGGGUUUUGAUUCCAGGCUUAACCGAAUCAAUUAAAGUCAAUCUCUAAGUUAACUUAAUGAUGAGUAAAACUUGACCAAAAUAUUAUAGCUUUUAAAUUGAUUAUAAUAAAGUUAUCAAGAAAUCAUUUUGGUUAAUAAAUUGUACCCUAAUCCGACACUGGUGAGUUUAGCGAAUAGCUUAAGGUGAUGAGAUAACUAUGAUUAAGGAACUCGGCAAACUAACUCUGUUACUUCGGUAUAAAGAGUGUUCAUUUUUUAUGAACUCAAUAAAGAGAAUCCUACGACUGUUUACUUAAAACACAGCACAUUGCUAAGUUAAAUAAAUAACAUUGUAUAAUGUGUGAGUUCUGCCCAAUGUCCUAUGGUUAACUAGUAAGACUUUAACGAGUCCAAAGGAACCCAGGAUAAAUGGCGGCUUUAACUCUGAGGGUCCUAAGGUAGCGAAAUUCCUUGUCCGCUAAAUACGGUCCUGCAUGAAUGAAUUAACGAUAGGAUUGCUGUCUCAAUCAUAGACUCAGUGAAAUUGUAGUUGCUGUGAAGAUACAGUGCAUUCCCAGCUAGACGGAAAGACCCUGGCAGCUUUACGAUAUUCAAUAAUUGACCAUUGGUUCUAAUUGAAUCAAUUUUAUUCUGCCUUUGUUCAGUAUAGAGGUUAGUUGAUUAAACUUAACUGAGAUAUCCUCCAUAGGGGAAUAAGGUCUUUAUAGCUAAGAAGCUAGACAUUUAUUGAGUGGUCGUUUCUGUGGGGCGCAGGCCUCAUAAAUAAUAACUGAGGCAUCCGAAAGAUCUACAAAGUUUGUAUGGAAAACAAUAUUCUGCUAUCAAAAAGCUAUAAAAAAGAAUACUACGCAUAAAAGCAAAGUAGGUUAAACUGAAAGACUAACAAGUCGGACAGAUACGUAAGUAGGGUUUAAUGAUCCACAUUUAUACAGCAUGGAAAUAAAUGUGCUCAAUGAGCGAAGUUACGCCAGGGAUAACAGAUUAAUAGAGAGCUAAAGUUCGCAUCAAAUUCUCUGUUUGAUACCUCGAUGUCGACUCAGCCCAUCCUCCAGUUGCAGCAGAUUGGAAGGGUUUAACUGUUCGUUAAUUUAAAGGGCUACGUGAGUUGGGUUAAAUCCGUCGUGAGACAGGAUGGUUCCUAUCUACUGGGAAGAAAUUAAACAAUGGUAAAUCUCUUUUUUGUACGAAAGGAUUUAAAGGGCCUAAUCAAUAGUUUAACUGUUGUUUUAUUCCAAAUUCAAUCAAAAUGGACUAAAGCAUGGCAGUGAAGCCACAUUAGGGAGUUUAAGGACUGAAUGCAUCUUAAGUUCGAAAUCUCUUACCGGCGUUUAAACUUAGAAAGUAGAACACUUUCAAAAUUAGUGAAUCAUUGUCUAGAUAGAUUCAAUCCAGACAGGAUCAGUGUAAACUGCUAAUUCAAAUCUCUUAGGAGAUCGGAUUUACUAAGAAUAUUCAGAUU
rnacentral:rRNA from 1 species